GGGUUGCAAAAGAAGUAGGUAGCUUAACCUUCGGGAGGGCGCUUACCACUUUGUGAUUCAUGACUGGGGUGAAGUCGUAACAAGGUAACCGUAGGGGAACCUGCGGUUGGAUCACCUCCUUA
rnacentral:rRNA from 2 species